GGUGACAGCCCCGUACACAAAAGCGCAUGUGCUGUGAGCUCGAUGAGUAGGGCGGGACACGUGGUAUCCUGUCUGAAUAUGGGGGGACCAUCCUCCAAGGCUAAAUACUCCUGACUGACCGAUAGUGAACCAGUACCGUGAGGGAAAGGCGAAAAGAACCCCGGCGAGGGGAGUGAAAAAGAACCUGAAACCGUGUACGUACAAGCAGUGGGAGCACCCUUUGGGGUGUGACUGCGUACCUUUUGUAUAAUGGGUCAGCGACUUAUAUUCUGUAGCAAGGUUAACCGAAUAGGGGAGCCGUAGGGAAACCGAGUCUUAACCGGGCGUUAAGUUGCAGGGUAUAGACCCGAAACCCGGUGAUCUAGCCAUGGGCAGGUUGAAGGUUGGGUAACACUAACUGGAGGACCGAACCGACUAAUGUUGAAAAAUUAGCGGAUGACCUGUGGCUGGGGGUGAAAGGCCAAUCAAACCGGGAGAUAGCUGGUUCUCCCCGAAAGCUAUUUAGGUAGCGCCUCGUGAAUUCAUCUCCGGGGGUAGAGCACUGUUUCGGCUAGGGGGCCAUCCCGGCUUACCAACCCGAUGCAAACUGCGAAUACCGGAGAAUGUUAUCACGGGAGACACACGGCGGGUGCUAACGUCCGUCGUGAAGAGGGAAACAACCCAGACCGCCAGCUAAGGUCCCAAAGUCAUGGUUAAGUGGGAAACGAUGUGGGAAGGCCCAGACAGCCAGGAUGUUGGCUUAGAAGCAGCCAUCAUUUAAAGAAAGCGUAAUAGCUCACUGGUCGAGUCGGCCUGCGCGGAAGAUGUAACGGGGCUAAACCAU
rnacentral:rRNA from 1 species